GAUGAAGAACGUAGCGAAUUGCGAUAAGUAAUGUGAAUUGCAGAUUUUCAGUGAAUCAUCGAAUCUUUGAACGCACCUUGCGCCCUUUGGCUAUUCCGAAGGGCAUGCCUGUUUGAGUAUCAUGAACACACCUCAACUCUCACGGUUCGCCGUGAUGAGCUUGGACUUUGGGGGUCUUGCUGGCCUGUGGUCGGCUCCUCUCAAAUGAAUCAGCCUGCCAGUGUUUGGUGGCAUCACAGGUGUGAUAACUAUCUACGCUUGUGGUUUUCCAUCAGAUAGCCUUCGGCAACGGAGGCCCACUGGAGCUCAUAAACGUCUCUCCUCAGCGAGGACAGCUCUUUGAAUGUUUGAUCUCAAAUCAGGUAGGACUACCCGCUGAACUUAAGCAUAUCAAUAAGCGGAGGA
rnacentral:misc_RNA from 1 species